GACGAACCGUGCGAACGUUAAUCGGAUUCAUUGGGCUUAAAGGGCGCGUAGGCGGCGGCGUAAGUUCGUGGUGAAAUCCCAUCGGCUCAACCGUGGAAUUGCUUCGAAUACUGCGUCGCUCGAGGGAGAUAGGGGACCGCAGAACUGCCGGUGGAGCGGUGAAAUGUGUUGAUAUCGGCGGGAAUGCCAGUGCCGAAAGGGGCGGUCUGGACCUCUUCUGACGCUGAGGCGCGAAAGCUAGGGGAGCGAAUGGG
rnacentral:rRNA from 1 species